ACGCACGCUGGCGGCGUGCUUCACCCCUGCAAGUCGAACGGGUCUGCCCUGUUUUUUGCGGGGUGGGUCAGUGGCGAACGGGUGAGUAACACGUGAGUAACCUGCCCCUCACUUCUGGAUAACCGCUUGAAAGGGUGGCUAAUACGGGGUGUUCUGGCUGUGCCGCAUGGUGUGGCUGGGAAAGAUUCACUUUUGUGGUGUUUUGGUGGGGGAUGGGCUCGCGGCCUAUCAGCUUGUUGGUGGGGUGAUGGCCUGCCAAGGCUUUGACGGGUAGCCGGCCUGAGAGGGUGGGCGGUCACACUGGGACUGAGAUACGGCCCAGACUCCUGCGGGAGGCAGCAGUGGGGGGUAUUGCACAAUGGGCGGAAGCCUGAUGCAGCGACGUCGCGUGAGGGAUGGAGGCCUUCGGGUUGUGAACCUCUUUCGCCGGUGAAGAAGGUCCUGCUCUUUGUGGUGGGGUUGACGGUAGCCGGGUUAUGAAGCGCCGGCUAACUACGUG
rnacentral:rRNA from 1 species